UAAAGUGAAACUAAAUGGAAAAUUCCAGAUGUCCACACAUGUUGCAAUCGACUCUCGCUGACAAGUCUAAUCUUGCCUCGCUCUCAUGUGACUCGCUGCCGUGUUUUGACGGUAGUUGUUGCGUAUUUAUUCGCAAGGAUUGCUUUUUAUGUGUACAUUAGUUACGUUUAAGGUCCGGUUGUAAGAUAAUUAAUUGCUCGUUCCUCAGGCUUAUAUGGCUUAUAUUGGUAGAACAUCUAACUGCUGUAACUUUUAUUGUAGACUUUUAACUAAGACAGAAAUAGACUAUAAUUUGAUUGAUUUCUGAACUGAAAUUGGAGAAGUUGUUUCUGUAUAUUCUGAAGUUUAAUUUGUUAUUGCCUGGCUCAAAACGUUUCAGUUCGUGGCAAGGGAGUUCAACACCCGAAACCAACGCAAUUUCGUGUGGCUGUCAAACCUAUUUCCGUCUCACAAUUUAUGAGCACCCCGACCUCAACAAACUACGAGAACGAUGAUACACCCCAUUUGCUCGAAUUCAUAAAAACAAAUUUAGAAACCAGCAAUUCGACUCUAAAAAAGCAGCAGCUCUUUUUUGACACAUGUGAAGCGGAUGCUUUGUAUUAUUUAACAGGUUGGGCUGUGCUCAAAGAAGUGAAAAAACAAGACUGUGGAAUCUGCAAAGAUGCGUUUGUUUCUAUGGAAAGGGUCAAUCCCGAUGAAUGCCCACAGUCGUUACUAACACUUUUUUGGUCUUACACACCUGAUAAAAACUUGAAAAUUGAUAGUUUCACCCAAUAUUUAUGCCACCCAUCCGAAAAAGCAAUCGUAUUUUUGCGCGAAGUAGAAACUGUAUUUCGCGCCAAUAUUAAUGCCUUUCACAAUAUAUGUUCGCCAGUUACUUUUCUGAUAGAUAAAGUUGACUGCUUGAAAUAUAAUUUCCCAUCUUGCCACAAUGUCGCUUUUAAAAUUUUGAAACGUUUUCUCACUGUAAGGUUAAAUAUUCAUGCAAAAGAGGUGAAAAUAAAGGAAUUGAAAAACAGUAUGCUAGUAGAACUGCAGCAAGAGCUCAAGUCAAAUAGAUAAUAUAUAUUAUACACUCCAGAUUAUUAGAUUCAUGCAGGAACCCCACAAUUUAUUCACAUAUAUUUUGUAGUAAUGUAUAAUGAAUCAUUUAAUUCACGGUGAUAAAUGAAUUGCCAUCUUUGUACUUGUUCAGGGCACACAUGGUGGAACUCCAUAUUCUAUUCACAUAUAUUUUUUUGUAAUACUGUGUAAUCAAUUAUUCAAUUCACGGUGAUAAAGGAAUUGCCAUCUUUGUACUUGUUGUGAGCACACAUGCUGUAACUCCAUAAUUCAUUCACAUAUAUUUUUAAUUCACUGUGAUAUUUGAAUUGCCAUCUACGUACUUGUUCUGAGCACACAUGCAGGAACUCUAUAAUUUAUUUACAUAUAUAUAUAUUUUCAUGUGGUACUGUAAAAUGUGUGAUAAAUAUAACUUUCACUGUGCAAUUAUAAAAUAGAUAAACUAAUUUGACAAUUUUUAUACCAAACCUUACGCGUCACUCAUUGAACCAAAGGAUAAAGAUGUUUAAUAACAUCUGUAUUAUUGAUUCAUAUAUAA